UGAGGAAUAUUGGUCAAUGGGCGGAAGCCUGAACCAGCCAAGUCGCGUGAGGGAAGACGGUCCUAUGGAUUGUAAACCUCUUUUGCAGGGAGCAAGACGCGGUACGUGUACCGUGCUGGAGAGUACCCUGGGAAAAAGCAUCGGCUAACUCCGUGCCAGCAGCCGCGGUAAUACGGAGGAUGCGAGCGUUAUCCGGAUUUAUUGGGUUUAAAGGGUGCGUAGGCGGACUGGUAAGUCAGCGGUAAAAAGUGCGGUGCUCAACGCCGUAGUGCCGUUGAAACUGCCGGUCUUGAGUGAGCGAGAAGUAUGCGGAAUGCGUGGUGUAGCGGUGAAAUGCAUAGAUAUCACGCAGAACUCCGAUUGCGAAGGCAGCAUACCGGCGCUCAACUGACGCUGAGGCACGAAAGCGUGGGGAUCGAACAGGAUUAGAUACC
rnacentral:rRNA from 1 species